GAGGGCAUUCAUAUGUAAAGGUCAAUAUUUUAAUUACUUGUCUCUUAUUUAGCUGAGUUCGUUGUCACAGCCAUCAUAGUAUGUAAGUCAAGUAGCGGAGCUCAUUGUCGCUCAUUCAACUUUAAAUUUUUAUAUUUAGAAGCUUCACAUAGUUAGGUUUGAGUCAGAAGAAGGAGAUCUAGGGGUCAAAAGUCAAUUUUCCUAUUCGAUGGAUGGGAUGGAGGUGUAGAUACAUCUGUAUCAUUGAAUGUGAUGUAUAGGAAUAAUCUAUUUGAGAAUCAGAGGAGUAUAUCAAAAUAUAAUCUUCUGUGCCGGUU
rnacentral:lncRNA from 1 species